rnacentral:rRNA from 1 species
AUUGAACGCUGGCGGCAGGCCUAACACAUGCAAGUCGAACGGUAACAGGAAGAAGCUUGCUUCUUUGCUGACGAGUGGCGGACGGGUGAGUAAUGUCUGGGAAACUGCCUGAUGGAGGGGGAUAACUACUGGAAACGGUAGCUAAUACCGCAUAAUGUCGCAAGACCAAAGAGGGGGACCUUCGGGCCUCUUGCCAUCGGAUGUGCCCAGAUGGGAUUAGCUAGUAGGUGGGGUAACGGCCCACCUAGGCGACGAUCCCUAGCUGGUCUGAGAGGAUGACCAGCCACACUGGAACUGAGACACGGUCCAGACUCCUACGGGAGGCAGCAGUGGGGAAUAUUGCACAAUGGGCGCAAGCCUGAUGCAGCUAUGCCGCGUGUAUGAAGAAGGCCUUCGGGUUGUAAAGUACUUUCAGCGGGGAGGAAGGGAGUAAAGUUAAUACCUUUGCUCAUUGACGUUACCCGCAGAAGAAGCACCGGCUAACUCCGUG